rnacentral:rRNA from 2 species
GUAGGGUGCGAGCGUUAAUCGGAAUUACUGGGCGUAAAGUGUGCGCAGGUGGCCGCGCAAGUCGAGUGUGAAAUCCCCGAGCUUAACUUGGGAAUUGCGCUCGAAACUACGUGGCUCGAGUGUGGCAGAGGAAGGUGGAAUUCCACGUGUAGCGGUGAAAUGCGUAGAGAUGUGGAGGAACACCGAUGGCGAAGGCAGCCUUCUGGGCCAACACUGACGCUCAUGCACGAAAGCGUGGGGAGCAAACAGGAUUAGAUACCCUGGUAGUCCACGCCCUAAACGAUGAUGACUAGUUGUUGGGGGAGUUAAAUCCCUUAGUAACGCAGCUAACGCGUGAAGUCAUCCGCCUGGGGAGUACGGUCGCAAGAUUA